CCCCUAGUAACUGCGAGUGAAGCGGGAAAAGCUCAAAUUUAAAAUCUGGCAGUCUUUGGCUGUCCGAGUUGUAAUCUAGAGAAGUGUUAUCCGCGCUGGACCGUGUACAAGUCUCCUGGAAUGGAGCGUCAUAGAGGGUGAGAAUCCCGUCUUUGACACGGACUACCAGGGCUUUGUGAUGCGCUCUCGAAGAGUCGAGUUGUUUGGGAAUGCAGCUCAAAAUGGGUGGUAAAUUCCAUCUAAAGCUAAAUAUUGGCGAGAGACCGAUAGCGAACAAGUACCGUGAGGGAAAGAUGAAAAGAACUUUGGAAAGAGAGUUAAACAGUACGUGAAAUUGCUGAAAGGGAAACGCUUGAAGUCAGUCGCGUUGUCCAGAGAUCAGCCUWGCUUUUGCUUGGUGUACUUUCUGGUUGACGGGUCAGCAUCAAUUUUGACUAUUGGAAAAAGAUUAGGGGAAUGUGGCAUCUUUGGAUGUGUUAUAGCCCUUGGUUGCAUACAAUGGUUGGGAUUGAGGAACUCAGCACGCCGAAAGGCCGGGUUUUUAACCACGUACGUGCUUAGGAUGCUGGCAUAAUGGCUUUAAUCGACCCGUCUUGAAACACGGACCAAGGAGUCUAACAUGCCUGCGAGUGUUUGGGUGGAAAACCCGAGCGCGUAAUGAAAGUGAAAGUUGAGAUCCCUGUCGUGGGGAGCAUCAACGCCCGGACCAGACCUUUUGUGACGGUUCCGCGGUAGAGCAUGUAUGUUGGGACCCGAAAGAUGGUGAACUAUGCCUGAAUAGGGUGAAGCCAGAGGAAACUCUGGUGGAGGCUCGUAGCGAUUCUGACGUGCA
rnacentral:rRNA from 1 species